UACGUAGGCAGCGAGCGUUGUUCGGAGUUACUGGGCGUAAAGAGUGCGUAGGCGGUUUUCUAAGUUUGGUGUGAAAUCUCCCGGCUCAACUGGGAGGGUGCGCCGAAGACUGGAAGGCUUGAGUAUGGGAGAGGUAAGCGGAAUUCCUGGUGUAGCGGUGAAAUGCGUAGAUAUCGGAAGGAACAUCAGUGGCGAAAGCGGCUUCCUGGACCAGUACCGACGUUCAGGCACGAAAGCGUGGGGAGCAAACAGG
rnacentral:rRNA from 1 species